CUAGGUUGCCCGCUCCUUAUGAGAACCUAAUGCCUGAUGAUCUGUCACUGUCUCCCAUCACCCCCAGAUGGGACCAGCUAGUCACAAGAAUACAAGCUCAGGACUCCCAUUGAUUCUACAUUAUGGAAGUGCCCUCGCUUGAUAGUAUUUGCAUCAUGUUCCCCUUUGAAUGCGGAAAUUAAGUAGAUCCCUGCCAUCACGUCGGUCAUGAUUACACACAUUUGGAAACAUUUCAAGAACAAUUGUGUAGUCCAAAAUGUAAGUGCAUUCAAUAAAAGCAUAACAUAACAUGAUUAUCCUAUAAAGCGAAUCUCCUUCCUGGUCCUCUCCACUACAGUAAAUGCCCUGCUGGCAGGGCAGAGGACACUGACUGAAUUUUAUUCUGAAGUGUCCAUUGUAGUUUGACUCUGUAUUGUAAAUCCUCUUUUGCCUUGGUUUAUGAUGUUUGAAAUGUCUUGUACUGUAGAAAUUUAGCUUUAUAUCUACAUCAUUGUUUUAUUCACUAAAACCUGUUAGAUUAAAAAUGUAAUGAAUGUAUUUUUAGCAACAGAAUAAAUUUAGAGAAGAGUUUAAAAACCCAACUCUGAAGGCAUUUCUAGAUGCUAGAUUAUUGCUCUGUAGCUUUCAUUAAUUACAUUUCUAAAAAACAAAUUGAAAACAAAACACUAUCAUUGAAAAAAAUGUAUGUAAGCCAUUUUAUGUCUUAGGUUAUGCUGACAGAUGUGUAAAGAAACUUUUAAACAUUUCAAACUCUAAUACUCAUACUGCAUAUUAUUUAAUUUAUCAAAAGUUUUUAGUGACAGUCUAAACUCAAUAUGAGGCUUAAGGGGCUUAAUAAUGGUAAUUUAAUUUGGAAUCUUUUGGCAUUUUAAAAACCCUCUGGCCAGUUAACAGAACGCAAUAAAACAUAAUUAUAAAAAUAUGUAGCAUGGCUUCAUAUUUCUACAUUUCCAGGGUAUGUUUUUCUUCUUUAAUCAUCUAUUAAAAACAUAUAUGAA
rnacentral:lncRNA from 1 species